rnacentral:rRNA from 1 species
UACAGAGGUCUCAAGCGUUGUUCGGAAUCACUGGGCGUAAAGGGUGCGUAGGCGGCGUGGUAAGUCAGAGGUGAAAUCCCGGAGCUCAACUUCGGAACUGCCUCCGAUACUGCCGUGCUUGAGGACUGGAGAGGAGUCUGGAAUUCACAGUGGAGCAGUGAAAUGCGUAGAUAUUGUGAGGAACACUAGUGGCGAAGGCGAGACUCUGGACAGUUCCUGACGCUGAGGCACGGAAGGCCAGGGGGAGCAAAACGGGG